rnacentral:sRNA from 1 species
UUUAAGCUGACCUUUAACAUUUUAAAACUAUUUACUGCAUUUUUAUCAAGAAAAAUGGUGCACAACUGGACAACACUAUCCUCCAACUACUAGUCUGCAACUUCAGUAAAAUAAAAAAUAAAUUCAGUUUUCUUCUUAACCCCAUUAAUAUCUUUUCUUUGGUUUGCCUCUAACCACUGCUUUGCCUUACAUUCCACAAUCCCUUACUGCUCACAAUCAUUUCCAUUCUUACAUUCUUCAUCUUCCAUUGUUGUAUAACACUUUUCACUGCCAAAGUGAAUGUCUUUCCCAUUGUUCACAUUCCAUUGUUGUAUUAAGGUGGCUUUCCAACAUU